GACAGAGGGUGCAAACGUUGUUCGGAAUUACUGGGCGUAAAGCGUGUGUAGGCGGCUACGUAAGUCGGAUGUGAAAGCCCCAGGCUCAACCUGGGAAGUGCACUCGAUACUGCGUAGCUUGAGUAUCGGAGAGGUUGGUGGAAUUCUCGGUGUAGCAGUGAAAUGCGUAGAGAUCGGGAGGAACAUCUGUGGCGAAGGCGGCCACCUGGACCAACACUGACACUGAGGCACGAAAGCGUGGGGAGCAAACAGG
rnacentral:rRNA from 1 species